rnacentral:rRNA from 1 species
UACAGAGGGUGCAAGCGUUAAUCGGAAUUACUGGGCGUAAAGCGUGCGUAGGUGGUUCGUUAAGUUGGAUGUGAAAUCCCCGGGCUCAACCUGGGAACUGCAUUCAAAACUGACUGACUAGAGUAUGGUAGAGGGUGGUGGAAUUUCCUGUGUAGCGGUGAAAUGCGUAGAUAUAGGAAGGAACACCAGUGGCGAAGGCGACCACCUGGACUAAUACUGACACUGAGGUGCGAAAGCGUGGGGAGCAAACAGG